AUGUCUGCAUGAGGAAAAAAAGCACGUGAGGGUCUUUUGCCUCAAGAUCCCAAAAUCUGAUCAUUUCCUAUUUAUCUCCUCUAUUGACUGAAAAAUUAUCCCUUGGCAUGCUUUUAGGCAUCUUUUUGCCCCCCAGCCUGGUCAGUGUCAUUUCACAACCAAGCUACCAACACCUGUAGGAUCAGAGCCCUCCUGCUGCAGCUUGGCUUUCAAACUACACAUGACAGAGCAGAUUUACUUUUCAGUGAUUGAUUUAUGCAAUAGUAUCUGUCACCCAAUAAAUGCUGGAGCGUAGAGGAGAUAAAAACCUUAAAAGCAAAUACAAAUACUGUGAUUUAGUCUAAACUAAUAUUUACGGAACUAAAGAAAGAAAGAGCCUGCUGUUAAUUGCGUGGGUACAAGUUCAGAACAGCGUUGUACCGAAACCCCUUAUUAAGCUAUCGCACAUAAAUACCAAUUAAAGACGGCUGGGGGAUGCUGCAGCCUGCGGCAGCUGCUGGAGCUAUGAAAAGUGUGAGGUGAGAACAAGGAACCAAGUUAUGAGUCCAGGUUAACCACCCGUCUCUGCAGCCCCUGGGUGAGGCUGCGUCCCACUGGGGGGUACUGGUGGAUACUGGGGGCACUGGGGGUACUGGAGGGCACUGGGGGAUACUGAGGGCGCUGCUCCUGCUGCCCUGCCCUGCCAGCGAUGUCCCCAGGCCCGGCCAGCACCCAAAGGCCCUUUUGGGAAGGGGUCGGGAGGAAAUUUGGCAGAUGCAGCUCCCCGGGGCGAUGACCUGCGCCCAGCUGAAACUGGGAAGCGCCCUGACCCCGGGGAUGGGGAGGGAAGGGCGAGGGGCGCCCCGCUCACCCCGCCGGCCGCUGUCAGCGGGGAUGAGUCAGCUCCGCUCCGUCCGCAGAAAUCUUCCUUGCCUUUUUAUUCAUUAAUUUAUUUUUGGAACAGCUGCCCCGAGCCAGGCCGAGCCUCUCCCCUCGCCCCCCGCCGCCGGGAGCUGCGGGCCCGGCUUCCCCCCGGGGACCCCCAAGGCCCAGCGCGGCCGGGGGCUGCGGGGCCGCUGCGGGGAAGGGGCGAUCGCUGCCCCCCGGUCCCCCCGGGGCUGCCUGCGAGGCCGCUGCGCGUUACGUGGUUGCCCAUUUCCUAUCAGUCCCAGCAGAUGCUCUUUCCUAAUGAUGGAAAGUUUUCUGAGUCCACGUUCAAGCACAGACAUUGCGAAACUUUACAGACUUUACGCAGGCUGUAGAAGAGCAGGAUGUGAGAAUGCUCCAUGCCUGGAAACAAGCACAUUUCUUGCCUGCAGUUGGAGAGAAUAACGAAAGAAAAAGAGCACAAGGGAAUACAGCAAACCACAGCUGGAAAAGCUGAGAUCCUGUGUUAAAACAGAAAUACCUAAGGUCUGCGAACAUUGCUUUGUUGGGCUGUUUCCAGUGCUGCGAGCAAAAUCUGGGCUCAAACUGAAAAUAAAAGGGACUUUCUGUUGAACAGAACCGUGCAAGUGAAGUGGGGUGUGGGAUUCAGUGAGGUCACAGGCAUGUCUUAGCUUUCGUGAUGAGAUGGUUGAGGAGAAAGGCGUGUGUAGCCACAUGCAGACCUCAGAGAGCCAGCUGUGGCAGCAAAAGCUGAAGAAAUUGCGCCUGAUACCAGCUCUGCGCUGAAAUAAAGCGCAGUCUGCUGCCACGACAGAAACCCAUGGAAACAAAAGGUCCUUUUCACGUUUGGAGAGUUACUUCUAGCCCCAGCCAUUCUGUUGGUUCAGCUUCCAAAGCACCCCUGCGAGCACUGGUGUUGACACAAGAUGAAGUCGGGCUGCAGACAGCCCCGCCGUGCUGCUGGCCGCAGCAUGCGCUGUCCCCGUGCCCCGGGGCUUGUCGGAGUGUGCUCAGGGCUGAUGUCACUCGCUGUCCCACCAAAAGCCAGCCCAGCAAACGUGGCUGGGGGCGUUUCUACCAGGGUGCUGAGCCAAAGCCGAUCACCCCAGAGGCAGAGGAAGAGAUGGGGCAGCACGUGGGUAGGAGCAGGAUGCCCCCAUCCCACUCGGUCAGCCACGGCUGUGUCUUCACCCCGAGCAGCAGCUCCUCAACCUGCCCCACGCCGGAGCGAGCGCAGCCUUGGCUCUUCGCCAUCUGCUUGUGCCAGAGGUGAAUCACGCAACACCAAGGCUGGCUUACAGCACACUGCCUGCCCACUGUGCUUUCACCCCUAGCAUCAUCCUUGCUGCCACCCCAUUUUCUCCAAUAUAUUGUUUUAUUACUUCCUGGCAUAAAAACCCUUUUAUUACCUGCAUGCGCACAGAUUACAGCCUGCUCCCUACAUCCUUUCCCUAGCUCAGGAGAUUUUUACGUCUCAAAGGACUCACAGCACGGUCACAAGCAGAACCGGGCAGAAACCUGUCCUGCCCAUUCCCACUGCUGGUGCUGCCAGAGGUGGGGAACCAGACGGCUCAGGGGGUGUCCCCUCUGUCCCAGGCACAGGGAAAUGUUUGUCUGGCACCUGCAGCAGCAAUGAGGCAGCAGCUGAGCUCUGAACCCCCAUUAUUUUGAAAUCCAUCCUUCAUGGAUGCCAUUUACUUGCUUUUGCCUCUUCUGUUUUUCAGGGUCUGCGUGGUGACAUCAUUGGUUGAGUUUAACAUUCACCGUCUGUCUCUGCAGUAUGAGGCUGAGCAUGAUGCAGCAGGUGAGCACAGGAAGGGCAAAGAGAGAAGACGUUCAGUGCCUGUGCGGAGAAAAAAUUGUCACUACAUUCUGUAACAUGCAUCUACCAAAAGAUGGCAGCAAAUAUCCUAGUAUGGAGCUGGGCAUCUGCUCUGCGGGACUUUAUUUUUCAGACAUGCUGUAAUUAUCCCAGCGAGUGACAGAAAAACUGAGGGAUUACACUAGAUGUUGUCAAGGGAGAAUAUCUGUGCUUGUGACUUCACUUUAAAUGAAAGAGAUUCUUUCAACAACAUAAGAAAUCACCAAAAUGUUCUAAACAUCAAUUCCUUCCUUCAUUUUGGCUGCUCGUAGUUUGGGUAACGCUACAUCUGAAUUUGUUUUGCCAGGUAAAAAUGGAAUAAAAUGGAAUAAAUUAAGAUGUAUUCCAC